UCCCGUGAGCCAAUAGCCCUGAGUUGUCUGUCCGUAAGGGACAGGGGACUCCGAGAGUGGGGAGGAGGUAGGACCCGUUUCGUUGACAAGGACACUGAGGUCCGUGGAAAGUAACUGCCCAGUUAAGGGCACCACGGCAAGAGUAUCCCCAUUUUGGACUUGAGGCACAGAAAAUUGAAGGCUGUCGCUGGGAAGGCCACCCAGCCAGAACUCCCAGCUCGGCUUAUUUCAGGGCUUACGACCCACCCCACAGGCUUCUUCCUCUAACAGGGAAAAUACCCUCCCACCAGGAAAGGUGAUACCCCAUCGCAGACCUGGAACCCCCCUGGGAGGCCGGAAUGCCCACCAGCUGUGGCCUGUGGGUCAGAAGGGAGCUAGUGAGGAGGGGCUAAAAAGUCUUGCCUCCCAGGAAGGGUGGGAGAGGCCCAGAGACCCAGAAGCCAGGCCCUGUGGCCGGGCAGCAGGAGGAGCAACUUGGCUGUCAGCUUCUUUAUCCAAACCAGGCUCCCUUUCCUCUAUCAGCAAUUCUUUCCUGAUGUCCAGGGGGUUGCAGACGCGUGGCCUUGGGCCAGGUUUAAUCUUUAGUGAGGUUUUGUUUGGCCGGCAAUGAGUAUGUGUUUUUUUGGGGGGGGGGGGUUGUUUUGUUUUUAUUGAAUAUGAGAGCUGACAGUGUGAGCUGUCUGAUUGCCCUCCCCAGUGUCAAAGGUCAGUGUGGUUAGACUAGUCCCCAAAGGCAUUUGGGUUUGAGACCCCUGAUUGAGACCAGUCCACUUGGCCUUGCCUUUAACCUUUCCUCAGGAGCCAGGAUUUUUGUCUGCACUAAUGCCACCCCCUGGAAGUCUGCACGUUUCUUGGUAAGCCUGCCUAGCUUUCCCACCCCAGAAGUCAUCACCUGAAAGCUACCCAGCCCAGUCCAUGCCUGGCACAAGCUCCCUCUGCUUGGAACUCAGGAGCUCCAUAAACAUCCAAAGAGGGAGGAAAGAGGUGCCUUGAACGGUCCAAGGGCUGCCGUAUGUAGGUUCUCCAGGGCCAGAGGGAGCAGGAGCACCAGCAGAAGGUCAGCCUAGGGAGUCAGAUUUCAGAUCAUCAAUAGUAAGGUUUUAGAAGUCAGAUGGUCAUAAUGUGGACCAGGCUGCCUCAGAAGACGGUAACCCAAUGAGGAGGACCUAGGAAUUUUGUUCUUGAGGAUUUCAUAUCGUCUGUUCUUAAAAUCCACCAGCAGUCACCAAGUUUGAGGCACUAUGGGAAAAUCGCAAAGACUAAUGUGAGACAUCAGGAAGGCUUCACAGUGCUGUCAUUUGAACUGAGCCUUGAAGGAUGGCUCAUGGACUUGUGACUCACAUAAUAGGCAAUGGUAGAGCAUGAGGACUAUUGCCCACAAGUGAAGGUGGCUGAGAAAUGAGCACAGGCUUUGGAAAGAAAGCAGAGGAGAAUCGGGAGUGACCGGAAAAGUGAACUGGAGCUAGAUCACAGUGGACUUCCCAUGCCAAGCUGAGUACUGGAAUUUUCUGUUGUUGGCAGUGGAAAGCCACUGAAGAUACUGGAGUAGAAAGUAUGCAAAGAUGAGCUCUGUGCCUAACAGGAAGGUUACUGAGGCUGCCUGUGGAGAAGCAAUGGGAGGGAAAAUAUGGGGACAGAAAACCACUGUCACAACAGUCCAAGUGAAAGAUACUCAUGAUGUCAUGGAUAAGGACAGGUCAAGAAGAUGGGAUGAAGGAAUGGAGACCACCUUAGAGCCAAGCAACAUUGCAGGGGUUGAUAAUGUUUUUAUUAAAACAAGGAAUAUUAUUUCAGUGUGAGUUUCUCUAGAAGUAGACCCUAAGAAAACUAUUUGGAUAUACUUUAUUUGGAAGGUGAUCUUAAGAAAUAACAGGAGAGAAGUAGGGAAUUCAAGCAGGAAAGUGAAGAUAGAAAAAAAAAAAAAAGAUGGGGGGAAUUAUAUCAAGUCAGUUAUCCCUGUGGGCAAUCGAAGGUCAAUCUUGCUGGAGGUCUCUGGGAAGACAUUGGAAAAAUGCACAUCUCUGAGUUUCCUUGAAGAGCAAAGGAGUAGGAGCUAUUUCUCAUCUGGCUCACACCAGCCAUUGUUUGAGGGUUGCUCCCGGGAGCACUUGCUCUGACCUUUUGGAAAGUCCUACAUGCAGGAGCAGGCUCGGGUAUAAAAGUUUCAGGUGCAGGAUGCCUGGGUGGCUCAGUCAGUUGAUCGUCUGCCUUUGGCUUGGGUCAUGAUUCCAGGGUCCUGGGAU